UACGGGAGGCAGCAGUGGGGAAUAUUGCACAAUGGGCGAAAGCCUGAUGCAGCUAUGCCGCGUGUAUGAAGAAGGCCUUAGGGUUGUAAAGUACUUUCAUCGGGGAGGAAAAACAAAACUAAUAAUUUUAUUUCUUGACGUUACCCGAAAAAGAAGCACCGGCUAACUCCGUGCCAGCAGCCGCGGUAAUACGGAGGGUGCUAGCGUUAAUCAGAAUUACUGGGCGUAAAGAGCACGUAGGUGGUUUUUUUAAGUCAGAUGUGAAAUCCCUGGGCUUAACCUGGAACUGCAUUUUGAAACUGAAAUACUAGAGUAUCGUAGAGGGAGGUAGAAUUCUAGGUGUAGCGGUGAAAUGCGUAGAUAUCUGGAGGAAUACCUGUGGCGAAAGCGGCCUCCUAAACGAAUACUGACACUGAGGUGCGAAAGCGUGGGGAGCGAAACAGGGAUUAGAUACCCGU
rnacentral:rRNA from 1 species